ACCGUCUCUUCUCCAGUCCAUUAAGGAGCUUCCUUUCCAAUCUAGGGAAAGCAUCAGGGCAAAUGUUAUCCAUAGGAAAGGAGUUCAGCAAUUGACUGAAGCAAUCUAUGAAACAUAAUUCAUGGAAACCCAUAUGGUUGAGACAAUGUAGGUACAGAACCCUAACAAAAAUAAUUGGGUACAAUGACAAGGAAGAGAAAGUAUCUAUGCAAUAAGCAGGAAUUAACAUUUACCACAUGCUUACUAUGAGAUAUAUGACUUAAUAUGCACGGUAAUCCCUUGAAGGUGGAAACCAUUUGUGGCAGGGAAACUCUAAGAUGGUCCCAAAUGAUUACCACUUGGUACUUUUAAUUGUGAAAUCCCAUCCCUUGAGUUUGAAUUGCUUCUAACCAACAGAAUAUGUCAAAAGUAAUGGGAUGUCACUUUGUGGUUAAAUUACAUAAGAUUAUGAUUUCUGUUUUGCUAGUUGACUCUCCCUAUUGCCUUCUUGGCUUGCAUGCUUUGGUGAAGUAAGCUGCCAUAUUGGAGUUCAUGUCUCAAGGAAUGGAAGGUAGCAUCUGGUCAAAAAUCAGCUAGGAAUGGAGGCCCUCAGUUUAACAGCUCUUAAAGAGUUGAAUUCUGCCAGCAACCACAUCAGCUUGGUAAUAGAUCCUUCCACAGUCAGGCCUUCAUUUAAGACUCCUUGGCAGUGACCUUGUGAGAGUCCCUGUUUCAGAUGCAGCCUUGCAUUUGGGAAGAGACAACACACCUACACGACAUUAACAAACUGCAGAAUCAAAAGCCAAAUCUCCCAGCAUUUGGAGAACAGUGAUGGAUCGCCCAGCGCUAUGCCACUUACAUGGGGAAGAUGUGUCUUACUUUCCAAAGAAACUUUAGUUUGCCAACUGCUCUAUACCUUCCUUUAGGAAACUAGAACUUGUCUGUUUGGUUAAUGAUUACAGAUUCAAAGGAAUUCAUUUUUUAAAGCGAAAUUCAUGACUCAUUGUUUGAAUUAACACUCCUCCACCCCAGCCCACCCUCUGUUUUCUAUAUUGUUAAUGUUGAUGAAGAAGUCAUCACAUCUUAUUGAUUCUGUUCUCCUGGCUUCCUCUGCAUCAGGAUAUAGCACAAAUGGGAGUCGUCAACUCAUUAGAGAUAGCCACUUUAAUAGUGACCUCAUCAAUCCAGUCUGUUUCCACAUUAGAGAUGCCAUGAGAAUUUCUACUUCAGAGAGUUCAUCUUUAUAGUUUUGCCGUUGUGCAUACACCCAGGUGAGAAGAGGUUUCUAAGCUAGUGAGACAGAACUAGAGAAGUUGACAUGUUAUUGUAGAAUGAAUAGGAAAAGCUCGGGGCACUUUACUAAGGAUCUGAAAGUAGAUUAGAUUUAUAACCUGCCUACAGUUAUUUAAAAAUACACACACAGCUCUUACAGAUCGAUAUUCUUGAAAAUGCAAACUGGUUAGUGUUUUCUCUUCUAAAUAAAGGAGGCUAGAUUGAUGGAGAGCCCAUUACUUCCAAAUUUAAUCACCUCCAGGCAAUUAAAGCAAUUUUGUGUUUUCUACUUUAGUGUUCCCCUGGAACGACAGCAUCUGGACAACUUUAAUUACCGUUUCAAUUCAGUAAAAGGCACAGAAAUGGCAAGUGUGGUGAUCUAACGGCUCUUCUCCUUAUUGGUUUUUUUGUUUUGUUUUGUUUUGGUUUUUUGUUGUUGUUUUUGGAUUUCUUGACUGUGGGAUUUUAUUUUCUGUUAGUGCCAGGGGAAGUGACUACACAUUUGAGGCUGCUUGUCCUUCCAGGGAAUUGAAGGACACCCAUGAGGAAGCUGAGAUGAGGGCAUUGAAAUAUUUAAUGGACACAGUGUUGCUGAUGGACUCUCUCUGAUGUAAUUCUUGAUGUCACUUUAGCUAUCUCUUUCAGUCCUCUGCUCAUAUUCUGUCAGAACUAACAGUCUGAAAAGUAGUCCCUGGAAUGCAACCGGAAUGUUGUAGAGACUGAAUGCCUGAUGCUGGCCAUUAAGUGACUAGGUCACUGCAAUUCGCGAUCACUCACUGGGUGCUGCUCUUCACCAGCUCCUAAGGUUGGGUGAGCCCGGCCGCAGUCCAUUAUAUACUGGAAAUGGUAUAUCAUGGAGCCUGUCUAGGCAGGGCCAGGGGCACAAGUAGUUUGUGUGAUAGGAGCUCAGAUCUUCUCAUCACUGCUUCUAUUCUACUAAUGUGACUCUUGGAGACAAGACAUGCCUGACCAUUCUACCCCAAGAACAUUCUGUUUAACCUAAUUGACUUAUGAGCUUGCUUUGCAGAAAGUUAACCUACUGCCACAAGACCGAGUAAGACUGGGAAAAACUGGGAAGGAGUCUUGCAGCUGCACAGAAAGGACCGAGAAUGAAUAAAAGUAACCUCCAUGACAACACACGUGAGAUGUCCCCGGACUCCACCAUUUUUUCUACUUAUGCCAUAAGUGCCUAGAGGUCAUUGGGUGGCACCUGAGCAGAAGUAGUGAGGUCUUUUUCCUUACCUCACCUUUCCAAAUGUCCAAUCACCUCCAUCCACCUUCCAGAUCCCCACUCCCUCGUAAAAUCCCGUAAGUGCUCAGGUCCCCCUAUCCUGGGGGAGACGGAUUUUAGAAAUUUACUCCCUGCUCCUUGCUUGGUGCCCAGCAAUAAAACUCUUUCUCUGCUGCAA